CAGCAGCCACGGGAAUACGAAGGGGGCUAGCGUUGCUCGGAAUGACUGGGCGUAAAGGGCGCGUAGGCGGCUUGUACAGUCAGAUGCGAAAUUCCUGGGCUCAACCUGGGGACUGCAUUUGAUACGUACGGGCUUGAGUGGAGAAGAGGGUUGUGGAAUUUCCAGUGUAGAGGUGAAAUUCGUAGAUAUUGGAAAGAACACCGGUGGCGAAGGCGGCGACCUGGUCCUUGACUGACGCUGAGGCGCGAAAGCGUGGGGAGCAAACAGGAUUAGAUACCCCUGUAGUCCCUGUCUCUUAUAC
rnacentral:rRNA from 1 species